GAGGAAUAUUGGUCAAUGGGCGAGAGCCUGAACCAGCCAAGUAGCGUGCAGGAAGACGGCCCUAUGGGUUGUAAACUGCUUUUGUAUGGGGAUAAAGUCAGUCACGUGUGAUUGUUUGCAGGUACCAUACGAAUAAGGACCGGCUAAUUCCGUGCCAGCAGCCGCGGUAAUACGGAAAGUCCGGGCGUUAUCCGGAUUUAUUGGGUUUAAAGGGAGCGUAGGCUGGAGAUUAAGUGUGUUGUGAAAUGUAGACGCUCAACGUCUGACUUGCAGCGCAUACUGGUUUCCUUGAGUACGCACAACGUUGGCGGAAUUCGUCGUGUAGCGGUGAAAUGCUUAGAUAUGACGAAGAACUCCGAUUGCGAAGGCAGCUGACGGGAGCGCAACUGACGCUGAAGCUCGAAGGUGCGGGUAUCGAACAGGAUUAGAUACCCUGGUAGUCCGCACAGUAAACGAUGGAUGCCCGCUGUUGGUACCUGGUAUCAGCGGCUAAGCGAAAGCAUUAAGCAUCCCACCUGGGGAGUACGCCGGCAACGGUG
rnacentral:rRNA from 1 species